rnacentral:rRNA from 1 species
AGUAAAUAGAAUACCCAGGUAGUCCUGGCCUUAAACGAUGGAUGCUUGGUGUCUGGAGUUUUAUAGUCUCCGGGUGCCGCAGCUAACGCGUUAAGCAUCCCGCCUGGGGAGUACGGUCGCAAGACUGUAAACUCAAAGGAAUUGACGGGGACCCGCACAAGCGGUGGAGCAUGUGGUUCAACUUCGACGCAACGCGAAGAACCUUACCUGGGCUAGAAUGCCUCUGACAGCCGUAGAGAUACGGUCUCCUAGGGAAACCCUAGGCAGAGUGCAAGGUGCUGCAUGGCUGUCGUCAGCUCGUGUCGU